CAAAAAAAAACUCAAAAACAAAACAAACGAAAAACAGAACCCUGUCCAUAGCAUAUUUUACGCCUGGUGCGAAUAAGUUCUCAGUACAUAGUAGUUUUAUUCCUCUCCAUGUGUGAGUAAAGACUAUCGCCCAGAGGUCCCCGAUGUUAUCAGGGACCCAGUGCAGAAGGAACAAAUCGUGGGGAUUUGAACCGAGACGACAGCUCAUCAGGUGCAAUAUUUCUGCCGCUUGGCUCUUCGGAGAUCCUCCGUGUCCCCGGUGCCUCGGCUUCUUGGGUUCUCGGUGGGGCUGGAAAAUAAAGCCUGCCCCACCUCGCCUUGUUCUACUGCGUGGCAGUAUCACUGGAUGAUCCGCUGGGCUUCUGUUCGUCUCCCCGUCUUUCAAAACAGCAGCCACAGGACGAGUCACACGCUUGUCACUCAGCACCACAAAUACUUAAUGGAUCCUGGCUCCCUCGAGGCUUCAUGUUUCACAACCGGGAGGCUCUGUAGUGGGUCUGCUCCUUCCUGCUUCGAGAAGAACGGGCAGCGGGGUCAUCGUGAAGGUUUAUUCUCCCGUCUCCUCCUGCUCAUCUGGAAGGGCUUCGGGACACACAGGACUUAUUUAUAUUCUGACUCUGAAAGACCCUUGCUCCGUGAAUGCCUGCUGGGAAACAUCCAGGCCAGGCCCACCUGUGAGUGAUGGCAGGUGGAAGAAAUGAACACAUCCCCUCCCCUCCGGACCCCGCCGGCCCGGAACCAGGGGGUGUUGGACUUUGCUCCCUCCCCUCUUAAUAUAAAAGACGCCUGACCUCUAAUGCAGGACAGAAGUGCGUGGAGCAAAAGGGUGAGCCCAGAGACUCUUGAGUCAGACAGCCCUGCAUUUAAAUCCUGGAUCUGCAUCUGUGGUCAAUGAAAUCUUUGCCUCUGAUCCUUUACUCACCCCCAGUGUCAGGACUAGAAGUUGCUGCCCUUGAGCGUGACUUUGUGGCUCCUCCCACCCCAGCGGGCAGAGGAUGCGGGAUGCGGGAGCCUGGUCCAGCCAAGGGCUUCAGAGAUGCCAUGUCUUUCUGCCCACACGUCCUCCGUCUGGGAGAAGAGUUCCCCCAGAAAGAGGCUCUGCAGCCUGGAGACCCUCCCAGCCAGUCCAGGAAACUGUGAGGGAGAAAAAUGAACCUUGGCAGGGUGGGCUCACUUUUCUGGAAAGGACCAGAUAAUGAAUAUUUUGGGCCAGCUGUCACUGAUGCAGCUUCUCAACCCUGCUGUUGUGGUUCAAAAACAGCCCGAGACACCUCGUAAGCAAAUGAGGGAGGCCGUGCCUGUUAACACUUUGCCACUGAAAUUUGAAUGUCACAUAAUUCUCUCAUGUCACAACAUAUUCCUCUUUGGAGGUUUGUUCUUUUCUUUUUUGUUUUUGUUUUUUU